rnacentral:rRNA from 1 species
GGGAUAAUAUAUUUGAGAGGCAUCUCUUGAAUAUCAAAGGUGAGCCAGUACAGGAUGGACCCGCGUCUGAUUAGCUAGUUGGUAAGGUAACGGCUUACCAAGGCGACGAUCAGUAGCCGACCUGAGAGGGUGAUCGGCCACAUUGGAACUGAGACACGGUCCAAACUCCUACGGGAGGCAGCAGUGGGGAAUAUUGCACAAUGGGCGAAAGCCUGAUGCAGCAACGCCGCGUGAGUGAUGAAGGCCUUCGGGUCGUAAAACUCUGUCCUCAAGGAAGAUAAUGACGGUACUUGAGGAGGAAGCCCCGGCUAACUACGUGCCAGCAGCCGCGGUAAUACGUAGGGGGCUAGCGUUAUCCGGAUUUACUGGGCGUAAAGGGUGCGUAGGCGGUCUUUCAAGUCAGGAGUGAAAGGCUACGGCUCAACCGUAGUAAGCUCUUGAAACUGGGAGACUUGAGUGCAGGAGAGGAGAGUGGAAUUCCUAGUGUAGCGGUGAAAUGCGUAGAUAUUAGGAGGAACACCAGUUGCGAAGGCGGCUCUCUGGACUGUAACUGACGCUGAGGCACGAAAGCGUGGGGAGCAAACAGGAUUAGAUACCCUGGUAGUCCACGCUGUAAACGAUGAGUAC